GAAUGCUGACAUAAGUAACGAUAAAGCGGGUGAAAAGCCCGCUCGCCGGAAGACCAAGGGUUCCUGUCCAACGUUAAUCGGGGCAGGGUGAGUCGACCCCUAAGGCGAGGCCGAAAGGCGUAGUCGAUGGGAAACGGGUUAAUAUUCCCGUACUUGGUGUUACUGCGAAGGGGGGACGGAGAAGGCUAUGUUGGCCGGGCGACGGUUGUCCCGGUUUAAGCGUGUAGGUGUGUGUUCCAGGUAAAUCCGGUUCACUUUAACACUGAGGCGUGACGACGAGGCACUACGGUGCUGAAGCAACAAAUGCCCUGCUUCCAGGAAAAGCCUCUAAGCAUCAGGUAACAUCAAAUCGUACCCCAAACCGACACAGGUGGUCAGGUAGAGAAUACCAAGGCGCUUGAGAGAACUCGGGUGAAGGAACUAGGCAAAAUGGUGCCGUAACUUCGGGAGAAGGCACGCUGACACGUAGGUGAAGUGAUUUACUCAUGGAGCUGAAGUCAGUCGAAGAUACCAGCUGGCUGCAACUGUUUAUUAAAAACACAGCACUGUGCAAACACGAAAGUGGACGUAUACGGUGUGACGCCUGCCCGGUGCCGGAAGGUUAAUUGAUGGGGUCAGCGCAAGCGAAGCUCCUGAUCGAAGCCCCGGUAAACGGCGGCCGUAACUAUAACGGUCCUAAGGUAGCGAAAUUCCUUGUCGGGUAAGUUCCGACCUGCACGAAUGGCGUAAUGAUGGCCAGGCUGUCUCCACCCGAGACUCAGUGAAAUUGAACUCGCUGUGAAGAUGCAGUGUACCCGCGGCAAGACGGAAAGACCCCGUGAACCUUUACUAUAGCUUGACACUGAACAUUGAGCCUUGAUGUGUAGGAUAGGUGGGAGGCUUUGAAGUGUGGACGCCAGUCUGCAUGGAGCCGACCUUGAAAUACCACCCUUUAAUGUUUGAUGUUCUAACGUGGACCCGUGAUCCGGGUUGCGGACAGUGUCUGGUGGGUAGUUUGACUGGGGCGGUCUCCUCCUAAAGAGUAACGGAGGAGCACGAAGGUUGGCUAAUCCUGGUCGGACAUCAGGAGGUUAGUGCAAUGGCAUAAGCCAGCUUGACUGCGAGCGUGACGGCGCGAGCAGGUGCGAAAGCAGGUCAUAGUGAUCCGGUGGUUCUGAAUGGAAGGGCCAUCGCUCAACGGAUAAAAGGUACUCCGGGGAUAACAGGCUGAUACCGCCCAAGAGUUCAUAUCGACGGCGGUGUUUGGCACCUCGAUGUCGGCUCAUCACAUCCUGGGGCUGAAGUAGGUCCCAAGGGUAUGGCUGUUCGCCAUUUAAAGUGGUACGCGAGCUGGGUUUAGAACGUCGUGAGACAGUUCGGUCCCUAUCUGCCGUGGGCGCUGGAGAACUGAGGGGGGCUGCUCCUAGUACGAGAGGACCGGAGUGGACGCAUCACUGGUGUUCGGGUUGUCAUGCCAAUGGCACUGCCCGGUAGCUAAAUGCGGAAGAGAUAAGUGCUGAAAGCAUCUAAGCACGAAACUUGCCCCGAGAUGAGUUCUCCCUGAGACUUAGAGUCUCCUGAAGGAACGUUGAAGACGACGACGUUGAUAGGCCGGGUGUGUAAGCGCAGCGAUGCGUUGAGCUAACCGGUACUAAUGAACCGUGAGGCUUAACCUUACAACGCCGAAG
rnacentral:rRNA from 2 species